CCUGGAUCUUGAGGAGGAAGGCACUUCUGAAAUAGCUGCCUGCAAUUCCUGUUUUCCUUCUGUCUAUUGAGCUGGGGCACAUUUUCUACCAUCACAGAACAGUGAUUAGACAUCAGAUUAUGUCUUGAUAUUAUAAUGGUACUGCCCUCUAUUGGAAGUCUGGGAAUCCUAAUUUCCUUUGGAUUCAGUGCUCCAUUUUGGAAUCACAGUCCAGCUCAGGCACAUUGUAGGGUUGAACUGCCCUGUUUGCAGUAUGUGAGGCUGGUCAUCUGACUGGCUGUGGCCAAUGAAAUUGGCAGCCAAGAGAAGCCAGAGGCUCCCCUAGACCCAGUCCACACAGCUGGUGCC
rnacentral:lncRNA from 13 species